rnacentral:lncRNA from 1 species
UUGAGGCCCCUAGGAACAUGUAUGCUUGUGUUUGUGUGUUGUAGAAUAGGUUUGAUGCAUGUUUGGAAGGUUUGGAGGCGAAAUGUGCAAAAGGAGCCAAGUUUCUGCCCUUUGGCAGAAACCAGGUUCGGCAGCCGAAGGACUUUCGGCCGCCGAACAUGGCUGGGGAGGCAGCCUUUCGGCUGCCGAAGCUUGCCCCCGAAAGGAGACUUUCGUCUCUGUCUGGCAGUUUCAGCCGCCGAAAGUGCCGCCGAACAUGCAUGAGUUUCAUCUCUGUCUGGGAGUUUCGGCCGCCGAAGGUGCCGCCGAACCUGUCUGACUUUCGGCU